GAUGGGGUAUCUGGAUUCCAUAGGUUUUUCCUUUUCCCCUUGCUAGGUCAAGAGUCUCUUCGCAGCUUGGGGCUAGGAUCUUCAUUUGCCUUUUUUCUUUUUUGGAGGAAGGGGGCUGUGUCCACAUAUUUAAGUAUUUGAGGUUCUUGGGCAACUUCCUUCUUACUUCGCCUCGAGGCGUAUCCUUUUUUUAGCCUGAGGUGGGGUCCUCCCCAGGGAGAGAGAAAGUUGUUUGAGAUCCUUUCUUACUCUGUGCGUGGUUAAAGGCCUCCGUACUCAGUUCCAGGGAAAGGGAGAUGAGUGAUGGUGGGGCCGAGACUCGCGGGUACUGCCUACUUCCGAAGAGUUAGACGCUUCCACCUGGGUGGAGGGGCCCUGGGAACUAGAUUCCUGUGUUAGGAACCAAGUAGGUAUUGAGGGCGAAGAAACAAGUGGAAAGAGACAUUUCUUUUCUUUUCUUUUCUUUUUGAGACGGUGUCUUGCUCCGUCGCCCAGGCUAGAGUGCAGUGGCGCGGUCUCGGCUCACUGCAACCUCUGCCUCCCGGGUUCAAGCAAUUUUCCUGACUCAGCCUCCCGAAUAACUGGGAUUACAGGUGCCCGCCACCGCGCCCGGCUAAUUUUUAGAUUUUUAGUAGAGACGGGGUUUCACGAUGUUGGCCAGGCUGGUCUCGAACUCUUGACCUCGUGAUCCACCCGCCUCGGCCUCCCAAAGUGCUGGGAUUACAGGCGUGAGCCACCGCGCCCAGCCAGAAAAGAGACAUUUCUUAUGUGGAAGUUGUGGUAGUUCUCCAGGCUGGAGGACACACCUAAACAUGUGGAAUCCCAAUGCCGGUAGGUGUUUGGGGGUUCUGUUCCACCCCUAACCCUUUUUCUGAUGGGCUCUAUAACAGGAAGUUUCUGUAUCAGCUCCCCUACCCCCGACCUGCUGUACCCGCAAAAGCAAAGUCCUUAGUCUAGAGCUGACCAGUGCUUUUUAAUUUAAUUUAAUUUAUUUAUUUUUUGAGAUGGAGUCUCUGUUGCCCAGGCUCACUGCAACCUCCGCCUCCUGGGUUCAAGCGAUUCUCCUGUUUCAGCCUCUGGAGUAGCUGAGAUUACAGACGCAUGCUAUCACGCCCGGCUACUUUUUGUAUUUUUAGUAGAGAUGGGGGUUUCACAAUUUGGCCAGGCUGGUCUCAAACUCAUGGCCUCAUGAGAUCUGUCCACCUCGGCCUCCCAAAGUGCUGGGAUUACAGGCGUGAGCCACCGCGCCUGGACUGACCAGUGCUUUUGUCUUCCUCAGAGUUCACUGUCUCCCUCCUCUCCCUAGCCCUUCCAGGGACAUUCCCCCUUUUCUCCCCAACUCAAGUUUGUCUCCCCUACCCUCCAUUCUUCUUUG
rnacentral:lncRNA from 10 species